GCCUUUGUAGUGUAGCGGUCAGCACGCUCGGCGCGUAUUCGAGAGGUCCGUGGUUCGAGUCCCGGCAAGGGCA
rfam:Stegodyphus mimosarum contig18179, whole genome shotgun sequence.